UCAGCGUUCUUCCAUCGGGGGUGGG
rnacentral:misc_RNA from 1 species